CACCUCCUGGAAGAAGACGUUUUAUUACAACUCCAGGCAGCUCGAGGAGCAUGAGACGCUCAAAGAAGCCAAUAUCCAGAAUGGUUCUGUCCUCCUCCUUGUCAGCAAUAAAAGAUAAUGCCAAGGAGCACAGCCAAAGCCAUGAGGGACGGGGAGUGUGACAAGGGCUGAAGGGAAGCAGAUGGAAGAGAGCUGGCCCACGGAAAGGCAGCCUGGCCACCAGUGUUGGUAAGUCCCUCCCUGCAGGCCAGCUCGAGGACUGUUCACAAAAGCAGCUCCAAGUGUUUCCAGCAUGGUGCCCAUGAAUAAUUAACCCAAACAAAACAACAAAUGAGUGUUUCCUCAUCAGCGUGCCAUGUGGACCCAGCUGCCAACGGAGGAGUGUGGUGAGGCUGACUCAGCUCCUGAGAGCCAUGGACCAGUGAAAUGCCCAGGAAAGGGGAUUCCUGCCUGGGCAAUGGAGCAACAAGGAGCUGAGGUGGACUUUGCUUAGGGCCCUAGAUGGGCACAUGGGACAUCCGAGCCUCCUGAUGGCUGCUCUCAGGAUUCUGCAUGCAGUUGCUGCCUUUCUCCAGAGCAGGAAGAGCUGGUUUGGUUGCUGUCCUUCAAAUGAUGCAUCUCAUCACGUGGGAAAGAGUAGGACAAAACCACCUAGAAAGAGCCACAGGACCAGCACAAAAAGAGGUCCUUCAAAACCAGCCAGGCUCUUUGGAGUUUUGCCUUUCUACAAAAGGCAAACUGACCUGAGCUGGAUUAGCUCCAGGAUCUACUCUAACACCUCCUGCCUGUAGCUGGCAGCUCUGGCCAGCUCUGGAAGGCUUUCUGCAGCUCAGGGGGAUCUCUGUAAUGACUGAAUUAACCGUGCUGCUGUGGGGAGCUGCCUGGAUACCAGCAAAGAUGCUGACAGUAAGAACUGCUGUGAAAUGGGUGUUUCCCUUGUCUGUGAACACAGGUGGGGCCGAGCCCAAGGACCAGCACUGGAAGGUGUGGGAGGUCCUGAGUGGGCUGGAGAUGGAGAAGUCUGAAAGCUCACAGAGCUGCUCUGUGCACGGGACUGCUGCUUGCUGGGACUGUUUACCUUUGGGAUCCUGCUGCUGGUGGAGCAUCACAGCACUGGAGCAUCCAAAGCACUGCUGUUCACCUCCUCCUUGCAGCUGCAGCCAGGACUUUCCAGCAGCUCCUUCUCCAGAGCAGAAGGCAAGCCCAGGCAGGUCCUCUCCAGUCAGGCAGCUCAGGCUGGGGCACGUUCCAGUGGCUCCUCUGUGCUUCUCCUGUACCUGAGACAAGCAUGCAUCAAGUGUUGCAGUUUACAGGGCCAUCAGCCUGGCAGCUUUCCUCGCUAAAUUCGCUUUUUAAAGUUCCAUCAGUGCUGUAUCCAGGGGGAAUGGAGGAACAGAUGCAGCCUGUGAAGUCUGGCUUUAAUUCACCCGCCUCAUUUAAUUUCCUGCCCUGCCUACUAAUCAAUGAGUCUGCACUAGCAGCUCUGGGAAUACCAUGGCUUUUCCACAUCCAGGAGAGUUCAACCCAGUGGCUGAACUGCCAGGGUCUCAAGCAGGCUGUCACUGUCCUUUGAGGCCCCUUCAUUGUGGAUUUCCCUCCUCCAGAACCCUUGCAGACACCCUGCAGCCCACAGCAGCUGCUCCUCAUUUCCUUGCAGGGCACAGGGGCAGCUCUGUCCCAUUGUCCCCCUCAGCCUGUGUGGCAUUCCCUCCUGGAAGUUCUCUCCUUCAAGGGUUUCAGCCCCAGGCUUUGCUUUUUGGGCCACACACUUCUUGCUGGGGCCAUUUGUCACCUCCCAGCAGAGCCUCCAGGGGCUCCUGUGCCCCCACAGCCCCCGAGUGUGUCACCUCCUGUGGCAGCAGCUCCCUGGCCACAGAAACACAACUUGCCCACUCAUCGUCCUGGGAAAAUCUGUCAGAAGAUCAGAGAAAAGAAUGAGAAACAAUUCUUGAAUUGCUACACCUAGGAUUGGAGAAACAGUUCUUAAAUUGCUGCCCCUAGGAUUGUGAACAUGUAAAAUGUGUUAUAAAGAUUUGUUUACCAAAAAGUAGUUUCUUAAUUAACCAAUAUUAAGAGUGUUUUAAGUAAAAAAAAACAAAACAAUUAAGUCAACCUGUAGUGAACUAAUCUAUGAAAGAGCAAUGAGUUUCUUAAUAAAAAUAUAUGAAUCAACUUUCUGUAAUACAUAAAGUCUACAGCAAUGAUGACCUGGCUGGCUUCAUCUGCUGUGGUGACCCCAGGUGUCCCUUCUCCCAGGACAGUGGCCCCACCUCAGCUCAGUGCUGCUGUCAGGCACUGCCUCAGACCCUCAGGGCUGCAGGAAGCAGCAGUGAAAGGGUUUCUGGCA